AUUGAACGCUGGCGGCAGGCCUAACACAUGCAAGUCGAACGGUAACAGGAAACGGCUUGCUGUUUCGCUGACGAGUGGCGGACGGGGGAGUAAUGUCCGUGAAACUGCCUGAUGGAGGGGGAUAACUACUGGAAACGGUAGCUAAUACCGCAUAACGUCGCAAGACCAAAGAGGGGGACCUUCUGGCCUCUUGCCAUCGUAUGUGCCCAGAUGGGAUUAGCUAGUAGGUGGGGUAACGGCUCACCUAGGCGACGAUCCCUAGCUGGUCUGAGAGGAUGACCAGCCACACUGGAACUGAGACACGGUCCAGACUCCUACGGGAGGCAGCAGUGGGGAAUAUUGGACAAUGGGCGCAAGCCUGAUGCAGCCAUGCCGCGUGUAUGAAGAAGGCCUUCGGGUUGUAAAGUACUUUCAGCGGGGAGGAAGGGAGUAAAGUUAAUACCUUUACUCAUUGACGUUACCCGCAGAAGAAGCACCGGCUAACUCCGUG
rnacentral:rRNA from 1 species